rnacentral:rRNA from 1 species
UGGGGAAUAUUGCGCAAUGGACGAAAGUCUGACGCAGCAACGCCGCGUGAGUGAAGAAGGCCUUCGGGUUGUAAAGCUCUGUCGUGAGGGACGAACAACUGCAAGUUAACAGCUUGCAGCCUGACGGUACCUCAAAAGGAAGCACCGGCUAACUCUGUGCCAGCAGCCGCGGUAAUACAGAGGGUGCAAGCGUUGUUCGGAAUUAUUGGGCGUAAAGGGUAGGUAGGUGGUCUCGUUUGUCUGAGGUGAAAUCCCUGGGCUUAACCCAGGAAGUGCCUUAGAAACGGCGAGACUAGAGUAUUGGAGAGGGUCGUGGAAUUCCCGGUGUAGCGGUGAAAUGCGUAGAGAUCGGGAGGAACACCAGAUGCGAAGGCGGCGACCUGGACAAUUACUGACACUCAACUACGAAAGCGUGGGGAGCAAACAG